UUGAUUUAUAAUUUUGUAUAUCGUUGUUAUAAAAAUAUUUUUUAAUAAAAUUAAUAUUUAAAAAUUAUUAUUAAAAUUUAAAUCAGAUCAAGAUGCAGAUUAUAAUUAAGAAUAUAAUGGAUUACAAUAAAUUUAUUUAAAUGAAUAUAAAUUUGUAAAAAUUAAUUGAAAGUGGAUUUAAAUGUAAUUUUAAUAAUUUUAUUAAAAUGAUUAAAAAUUAAAAUAUGU
rnacentral:rRNA from 1 species